GUACCGUGAGGGAAAGGCGAAAAGAACCCCGGCGAGGGGAGUGAAAAAGAACCUGAAACCGUGUACGUACAAGCAGUGGGAGCACGCUUAGGCGUGUGACUGCGUACCUUUUGUAUAAUGGGUCAGCGACUUAUAUUCUGUAGCAAGGUUAACCGAAUAGGGGAGCCGAAGGGAAACCGAGUCUUAACUGGGCGUUAAGUUGCAGGGUAUAGACCCGAAACCCGGUGAUCUAGCCAUGGGCAGGUUGAAGGUUGGGUAACACUAACUGGAGGACCGAACCGACUAAUGUUGAAAAAUUAGCGGAUGACUUGUGGCUGGGGGUGAAAGGCCAAUCAAACCGGGAGAUAGCUGGUUCUCCCCGAAAGCUAUUUAGGUAGCGCCUCGUGAAUUCAUCUCCGGGGGUAGAGCACUGUUUCGGCAAGGGGGUCAUCCCGACUUACCAACCCGAUGCAAACUGCGAAUACCGGAGAAUGUUAUCACGGGAGACACACGGCGGGUGCUAACGUCCGUCGUGAAGAGGGAAACAACCCAGACCGCCAGCUAAGGUCCCAAAGUCAUGGUUAAGUGGGAAACGAUGUGGGAAGGCCCAGACAGCCAGGAUGUUGGCUUAGAAGCAGCCAUCAUUUAAAGAAAGCGUAAUAGCUCACUGGUCGAGUCGGCCUGCGCGGAAGAUGUAACGGGGCUAAACCAUGCACCGAAGCUGCGGCAGCGACGCUGAUGCGUUGUUGGGUAGGGGAGCGUUCUGUAAGCCUGUGAAGGUGUGCUGUGAGGCAUGCUGGAGGUAUCAGAA
rnacentral:rRNA from 1 species